CCGAGGCCCGGAAGGGUAGAGCGGCGGCUCCCUGCCUCUCCGGUGUUCGGUGGAGAGGGCGAGAGAGA
rnacentral:SRP_RNA from 14 species